rnacentral:lncRNA from 1 species
CCCAUCCUUCUAUGUAGCAACCUUGGCUUCAUUAAUCAUUAGUAUCGAUUUGACAUGUCGUCUUGACGUACUAGCGUAGCCACAUCUCUGACAAAAACAUAGCAAAACCAAAACUAUACACAAAGACGAAGAUGUAACUCUUGUUUCAAACUAGUGUGUAGAUAGUAGACACUAAUUUGUGUGGGCGCGCGACUAAGUAGUCAUGUUUCCAGUGGCUGAAGACCUCGCUGUAAUUGUCCUGUGUAUAGACUGUGUUGAAGCACAUCGUACAGCAUAAGCUCGAUUUCAAUUCGAUUUCUCAGUUUCCGACGCUAUCGUGCCAUAAUUGGUGAAUUUCGUGUUUCUACUUCCUUAUUGUGCAAAUAUGUAGUAUGAAUGCUGCGGCACAUUAAAGAUCUACGCAAGAGACUACCUUUUCUUCUCGAGUACUUGUGGUAUGGGGCCUGAAAGUGCGAUGCCGAUGUAUAAAAAUGUAACCCCUAAAACCGCAUAAGCGGCUAAAUAUUGUGAUGUGAAGACUGUGACAAUAUACAUGAGAUUAAAAACUUAGGUAAUUAACAUACGGUUUUGAAUUUCGUGUGGGAAGAAUCAUUUGUUCUAAAGGCGAAAGGAAGUUUUCACUGUCUUUCACCAGAAAGCAGAAAAAUCAGGACGAGUAAUUGUUGGAGUUAGAAAUUGAAAUGUACUGUACAUUUCAAAUUCUGUGAGGUGGAAUGCGUGACGACAUGGUUACGAUAUUGUAUAUAGUUGAAACAGGGGUAUCUCCCAUCUUGAUGGUAUCAUUGGUCAAAGCAGCAACCGGCCCAGCGUGGUCCGUGCUAACUCCACCACAUCUCACCGUCGCCACGCCAUCCACUGGGUGUCGGUGCUGACACCGCUGACUCCAUUGUGGUGGUUGACAUGCACCAUGUUGCUGACCUUGCCAACAUUGCUGCAACUCUCCACCCAGUGCUGGAAAGGCAAAUAUGUAUCCUGAAGAUGUAUCCUGAAGACCAGGGCAGGGCCGACCACGUGUGACGUCAGAAGAGCGGACUGUUUUUUGGCUUUAAGGGCACAACAGUAUCAUCUUAGUACUGCACAGUGACUGGCAUGUGAGCUCGCACCAUCCACUAGACGUGUUGUAGCAAGGAAAACAUUGUGCGGAAGGCUUCAGCAGAGUAGCCUUUGUCAGAGACCUACUGUAUGUCUACCUCUUACACGUCUUCACAGAAGGGAUUGUCUAGAGUGGCAUCAUCAACAUGCCAUGUGGACGGUAGAACAAAGGACCGAUGUUGUUCACACAGAUAAGUCCCACUUUAGUCUGGUGAGUGAUUCACAAUGAAGUCACAUCUGAAGGGAACAUGGAACACUAUUUCGGGACCCAAACAUUGUGGAAAGAGACCGAUAUCGAGGAUCCAUAAUGGUGUGGGCAGGGAUUGUUGACCACUCGAACACCUCUUCAUGAAACUGUGCAGGGGAAUCGGAAAGGUUUAACUUGACUCCUGUCAGGUAUCAUGAUGAGAUCUUGGGACUUUACCUGUGGUGGUUGUGAGGUGCUGUGGGCCUAGACUUUGUAUUGUUGGGCAGUAAUGCUUGACCUCAUAGAGCACAGGUGGUUGAUGAUAUUUUCUUGUGAAUGAAAGGUAUUGCACACAUGGUGUGGCCUACUUGCUCUCCCAAUUUGAAUUGCAUAGAACAUGUCUGGGAUACACUAAGGAGACUGCGUCUGCUGAUACCUUGCCUUAAUAAACAAAUCGAAGAGUGGUACAUGCAAUUAUGAAGAAAGACUUGGGAUUUUAUGUCUAAUAAAUAUUAAUUGUAUGUGUGUAAAUUGGUUGUAAUGGUACACAAUAAAUUUUUAACUACUAA